rnacentral:rRNA from 1 species
AUUGAACGCUGGCGGCAGGCCUAACACAUGCAAGUCGAACGAGUGGCGGACGGGUGAGUAAUUUCUGGGAAACUGCCUGAUGUAGGGGUAUAACUACUGGAAACGGUAGCUAAUACCGCAUACCAUCAGAUGUGCCCAGAUGGGAUUAGCUUGUUGGUGGGGUAACGGCUCCCCAAGGCGACGAUCCCUAGCUGGUCUGAGAGGAUGACCAGCCUAAAUGGAACUGAGACACGGUCCAGAUCCGUGCGGAAGGCAGCAGUGGGAAAUAUUAGACAGUGAGCGCAAGCCUGAAGCAGCCAUGCGGCGUGUAUGAAGAAGGCCUUCGGGUUGUAAAGUACUUUGAGCGGGGAGGCGUAUCCCGCAGAAGAAGCACCGGCUAACUCCGUGCGAGCAGCCGCGGUAAUA